AUGGCGGUUGUUGCUGCAAAGCCACACAUUUUGGUGGCCUGUGCCUCGCUGCUCCUCACCGUGGGGUGCCAGGCCAGCCCUUUCUGGCCACUGGAGAUCGGCUACUACCACGACAAGUGCCCCCAGGCGGAGGCCGUCGUCAAGGGCGUAAUGGAGAAGGCCAUCUCCCAGAACCCCGGCAAUGGCGCCGCCAUGAUCCGCAUGCUCUUCCAUGACUGUUUCGUCGAGACGCCGCCUUCCAAGACAACGAGGGCUCCCUCGCCGCACGAUAGCACCGUCUCCUUCCUGGACAGCGAACUCACCGCCGCGGGAGGUGCUCCAGGUGAUGAGGUCUGGAGAGGCGACCAGAAUGAGGAAUGA
rnacentral:rRNA from 1 species